rnacentral:rRNA from 1 species
GGGAAUAUUGGACAAUGGGCGAAAGCCUGAUCCAGCCAUGCCGCGUGUGUGAAGAAGGUCUUCGGAUUGUAAAGCACUUUAAGUUGGGAGGAAGGGCAUUAACCUAAUACGUUAGUGUUUUGACGUUACCGACAGAAUAACCACCGGCUAACUAUGUGCCUCAAGCCGCGGUAAUACAGAGGGUGCAAGCGUUAAUCGGAAUUACUGGGCGUAAAGCGCGCGUAGGUGGUUCGUUAAGUUGGAUGUGAAAUCCCCGGGCUCAACCUGGGAACUGCAUUCAAAACUGUCUAGCUAGAGUAUGGUAGAGGGUGGUGGAAUUUCCUGUGUAGCGGUGAAAUGCGUAGAUAUAGGAAGGAACACCAGUGGCGAAGGCGACCACCUGGACUGAUACUGACACUGAGGUGCGAAAGCGUGGGGAGCAAAC